GGCUCCAUAGUUCAGUUGGUUAGAAUGCUUGCCUGUCACGCAAGAGGUCGCCGGUUCAAGUCCGGCUGGAGUCG
rnacentral:tRNA from 1 species